rnacentral:lncRNA from 1 species
AAUUUUAGCAACAUAUAAUAUCAAUUUCAACAACAAUUUCAACAUCAAUAUAUCAAAAAUAAACCCAAUUUCAGACCAAUAAUGAUAGCAAAUCUCAAUUUCAUAUUCCAAUCUGAAUUUCAAACCCAAAUCAAAACUAAACCCUAAAAACAUAAUAUAUAUAAAUGAACCCUAGCUAAAUUAAAAAAUUAAAUUGAACAUACCUUGCAAACUAGGAACAAAUGAACCCUAAUUUCUAUGGAGGUUGUGGUGGAUGAGUGAGAACAGAC